rnacentral:tRNA from 1 species
AAGGAUUUAAGUUAAAGAUAAAACUAGUAACCUUCAAAGUUACCAAUAGAAAAAUCUAAGCCUUA